UACAUAGUGAUGUAGUCUCAGCUUACUAAAGUGACAUCACUAUGUGGCGUCCUUCCGGCCACUGUCACUUCCACACACACGUCCCGAUAGCGUCUGGUCAUGUCUGAUUAUAAUUAUGUUUAUAGUCUUAAUUAAUAAAUAUAUUGUCAUAAACGACAGUGUCAUUAUUCAUCAAAUACAGAACCACAAUACAUGGUGUCAGAAGUCAAUUCAAUCAAAAAAGAAAAAUGUCUAAAAGCGAUGAAGACACGGCAAGUGGCGAGCGGCAAGAAAUGGCUUCCAAAUCGCCAAAGAAGCUCAACAUUAUGGGUAAUAUCAAGCCCAUGAGUCUAGAAGGAAAUCUGUCCACAAACUGGAAGAGAUGGUAUCAAAGUUUUGUAAUUUUUAUGAAAGCGAGCGCCAUUUUUGAUGAGCCGGAUGACCGCAAAGUGGCUGUCUUGUUGCAUUUCAUUGGCAACGAAUGUCUUGAUAUAUUCAACACUUUCAACCUAAACAUAGAAAAUGUAAAAUUUUCGCAACUGGUCGAAAAGUUUGAACAAUACUUUGUACCUAAAAGAAACAUUACAUAUGAGUGUUACAAAUUUUUCACUACAAAACAAAAAGUAGAUGAAAGUCUAGAAGAUUUCCUAACUCGUCUUAUAAAUAAGAGUAAGUCAUGUGAAUUUGGUAGUCUCCAAGAUAGAAUGAUAAAAGAUAUUUUCAUCACUAAUAUGCAUGAAACUUUUCAUCAUGUCAGAGAAAAGUUGUUACUUGAAGAAGAUCUGUCAUUAGAAAAGGCGCGAAACCUUGCUAAAAGCAUUGUGUCAGCGAAAACACAUGCAGAAGAAUUUAAGGAGUCUUCUUCCAAUGUCUUUUAUCAAUCUCAUUCAUCAACCAAACCACAGUCACGAGCGAGCUCAAAGUCAAGAGCCAGGUCGCAGUCUCAAGAUAGAACAAAGUGUACUAAAUGUGGUCAAGUGCAUAAAUACAUGUGUCCUGCUAGAUAUGCAAAGUGUAGAAAGUGCAAAAUUAGAGGACAUUAUGAAGCGUGCUGUAAGUCUAAAUCUGUUAAACUCAUACAUGUAGCAAAAAGUGAAAAUGUCAAAGUUAAUGUGUCAAAUAAUAUGCUAAUUGGGAAUUUAAAUUCAAAUCACUCUAAGAAAGCAGAAUGGAGUAUUGAUUUAACAAUUAACAACAUCAAUAUAAAAUGCAUAUUGGAUACUGGCAGUGAUGCCAAUGUAAUGUCAUAUAAUUUAUUUAAGUCACUAAAUGUUGUCAAAGAAUUUUCACCUUGUCAUGCUAUAGUAACUUCUUAUUGUGGAAAUACCAUACCAAUAUUGGGUCAACAAACAUUUAAUUGUGUUUUUAGUAUUGGUAGUCAGAAAAAAUAUUAAAUUUAUUAUUGCAAAAGUGUCGUCACCAACUGUACUUGGUAAAAAUACUUGUACAGAAUUGGGUCUAGUUAAAAGAGUGUUUAAUAUUGAAAAAUUAAACAACUGUCAAAGUCAAAAUAAUAUGGCUAGUCUAACUAAAUGUCAUAAAAUGUCAAAAUUUACAAAUAGCAAUAUAAAUUGUCAAUUACAAGCACAUGAAAAUAAUUCUGAAUUUAAGUCAUGCUAUGUCAAAAAAGAUACUCAUAUAGAGAAUCUUUUGUCUAAAUUUAAGUGUGUAUUUGAUGGAUUGGGCUGUCUACCAGGUGAAUGUCAUAUCACAAUUAAUAAUGAUAUCCGUCCUAAAAUAGAUUCACCUCGGAAAAUUCCAUUCUCACUUCAUGAUAGACUGAAGAAGGAACUAGACAACAUGGAAAGUAUGGAUGUCAUCUGUAAGGUCACUGAGCCAACAUCAUGGCAGAACGUCUCCAGUGGCUCACCAAGGCUACGGAACAAGAUGAAAGUCUGCAACUACUGAAGAAUUACUAUCAAAAUGGAUGGCCUGAUAGAAAAUCUGAAGUCAAUAAAUUAGUCUUACCUUAUUGGAACUGUCGUCAUGAAAUACAUGCUGUCAAAGGUCUGCUAUUAAAAGGUAACAGUCUUAUUAUACCUAAAGAGUUGAGACCAGAAAUUCUGAAAAUGAUACAUAGUGGUCAUCAAGGUAUAGAAAAGUCAAAAAUUUUGCAAGAGGUGUUGUAUAUUGGCCAUUAAUGUCACAUGAUAUACAGCAAUGUGUAGAAAAUUGUGAAAUCUGUUUGUCACACAGAAAUGCAAAUCCUCCACAACCUCUAAUGUCUCAUAAGAUUAGUUCUUUUCCUUGGGAAAAAGUCGGUAUAGAUUUUUUACAAUUUAAAGGUCAAACUAUUGUUGUCGUCGAAGAUUACUAUUCUAAUUAUAUAGAAAUAGCUAAUGUCAGCUCAACAGGAGCAAAAGCAUUAAUAAAUGUUUUGAAACCUAUAUUCAGUCGUCACGGGAUUCCUGUAAAAAUAAUGUCAGAUAAUGGUCCACCCUACAGUUCACAAGAAUUUAAGCAGUUUAUAGAUUCUUGGGGUAUAUGUCAUACAACGUCAAGUCCUUACCUAUCACGGUCAAAUGGAUUAGUGGAAUCUGGAGUGAAAAUAAUAAAGCGCAUACUUACCAAAUGUGCUGAGUCUGGAGAUGAUCCUCAUCUUGCCUUGCUGCAAUAUAGAACCACACCUAGAGGAAACUUACCGUCUCCUGCUGAAUUAUUGAUGUCUCGUCGUCUCAGAACACUAAUACCUACCGUUGUUAAGCAUCUGCAACCUAAAAUAACAAGUCAUAAGGAAUAUAGGAAAAUAAAACAACAUAAUAAUGUCAAACAGAAAUUUUAUUUUGAUAAAAAAUCUAAGGAGUUGUCUAAAGUCAAGAAAGGAGAUAGGGUGAUGUUCAAAAAAUCACCUGAUUCUAAAUGGCAAUCUGGAAAAGUCAUAAAAGAAUGUGAUGAACCUAGAUCAUUUAUUGUCGAAGCCCCAGAUGGGUGUACAUUUAGAAGAAAUAGGCAACACUUGUUAUGUCCUCCGUCUUCAAGUCUUAAUAAGGAAAAUAUUCCAGAAAAUUUAACAGAGAGUCAAGAAAUAAGUCAAAGUCAAAAGGAGGAAGUGAGAAAGGAAGAACCUAUAAAGGGUAUACUUAAAACUAGAAGUGGUAGACAGGUCAAUCUCCCAGUCAGGUUUCAAGAUUAAGUAUAUGUUUGAUAAAUGUCAAGUGUAAUUGUCUAAGUAAAUUUUAAGUCUGUAAGUUACACAAAUGUAUAAGUAACAUGUCAUAUAAGUUAAGGAAUGUAAAAGUUAUAAGUCAAAUGUAUAUGUUGUCAUUCUGUGAAACUAGUCUUAAGUCUCAAUUGUCUUUGUUAAAAACAAAAAAUGAAAAAGGGAGAUGUUACAUAGUGAUGUAGUCUCAGCUUACUAAAGUGACAUCACUAUGUGGCGUCCUUCCGGCCACUGUCACUUCCACACACACGUCCCGAUAGCGUCUGGUCAUGUCUGAUUAUAAUUAUGUUUAUAGUCUUAAUUAAUAAAUAUAUUGUCAUAAA